GCGCCCGUAGCUCAGUGGAUAGAGCGCUUGCCUCCGGAGUAAGAGGCCGCAGGUUCGAGUCCUGCCGGGCGUACCA
rnacentral:tRNA from 1 species